UCUUGGUCAAUUAGAGGAAGUAAAAGUCGUAACAAGGUCUCCGUAGGUGAACCUGCGGAGGGAUCAUUACACAAUAAAAUACGAAGGCCGUUCGCGGCUGGACUAUUUAUUACCCUUGUCUUUUGCGCACUUGUUGUUUCCUGGGCGGGCGCUCGCCACCAGGACCACAAUAUAAACCUUUUUUAUGCAGUUGCAAUCAGCGUCAGUACAACAAAUGUAAAUCAUUUACAACUUUCAACAACGGAUCUCUUGGUUCUGGCAUCGAUGAAGAACGCAGCGAAAUGCGAUACGUAGUGUGAAUUGCAGAAUUCAGUGAAUCAUCGAAUCUUUGAACGCACAUUGCGCCCUUUGGUAUUCCAAAGGGCAUGCCUGUUCGAGCGUCAUUUGUACCCUCAAGCUUUGCUUGGUGUUGGGCGUUUUUGUCCCCCCCAAAAAAGGGGACUCGCCUUAAAAGGAUUGGCAGCCGGCCUACUGGUUUCGCAGCGCAGCACAUUUUUGCGCUUGCAAUCAGCAAAAGAGGACGGCAAUCCAUCAAGACUCCUUCUCACGUUUGACCUCGGAUCAGGUAGGGAUACCCGCUGAACUUAAGCAUAUCAAU
rnacentral:rRNA from 1 species